GACGAACGCUGGCGGCGUGCUUAACACAUGCAAGUCGAACGGAAAGGCCCUGCUUUUGUGGGGUGCUCGAGUGGCGAACGGGUGAGUAACACGUGAGUAACCUGCCCUUGACUUUGGGAUAACUUCAGGAAACUGGGGCUAAUACCGGAUAGGAGCUCCUGCUGCAUGGUGGGGGUUGGAAAGUUUCGGCGGUUGGGGAUGGACUCGCGGCUUAUCAGCUUGUUGGUGGGGUAGUGGCUUACCAAGGCUUUGACGGGUAGCCGGCCUGAGAGGGUGACCGGCCACAUUGGGCCUGAGGUACGGCCCAGACUCCUUCGGGAGGCAGCAGUGGGGAAUAUUGCACAAUGGGCGGAAGCCUGAUGCAGCAACGCCGCGUGCGGGAUGACGGCCUUCGGGUUGUAAACCGCUUUCGCCUGUGACGAAGCGUGAGUGACGGUAAUGGGUAAAGAAGCACCGGCUAACUACGU
rnacentral:rRNA from 1 species